rnacentral:rRNA from 1 species
AACUCAAAGGAAUUGACGGGGGCCCGCACAAUCGGUGGAGCAUGUGGUUUAAUUCGAGGCAACGCGAAGAACCUUACCCAGACUUGACAUCCCAGGAAUCCCUUGGAAACAAGGGAGUGCCCUUCGGGGAGCCUGGUGACAGGUGCUGCAUGGCUGUCGUCAGCUCGUCUCGUGAGAUGUUGGGUUAAGUCCCGCAACGAGCGCAACCCCUGUUCUCAGUUACCAGCGGUUCGGCCGGGCACUCUGAGGAGACUGCCGCUGAUAAAGCGGAGGAAGGUGGGGACGACGUCAAGUCAUCAUGGCCCUUACGUCUGGGGCUACACACGUGCUACAAUGGCCGGUACAAAGGGUUGCGAUACCGCGAGGUGGAGCCAAUCCCAAAAAGCCGGUCUCAGUUCAGCUUGGAGUCUGCAACUCGACUCCAUGAAGGCGGAAUCGCUAGUAAUCGCGUAUCAGCAAUGACGCGGUGAAUACGUUCCCGGGCUUUGUACACACCGCCCGUCA